rnacentral:misc_RNA from 1 species
UCCGAGUUGUCCCCGGCAGUCCUUUUAGAGUCCCCGGCAUUACCCGCUGGCAACUAAAAGCAGGGGUUGCGCUCGUUGCGGCACUUAAGCCAACACCUCACGGCACGAGCUGACGACAACCAUGCACCACCUGUAUAGCGCCCCGAAGGACACCACAUCUCUGUGGCUUUUCGCAACAUGUCAAACCCAGGUAAGGUUCUUCGCGUUGCGUCGAAUUAAACCACAUGCUCCGCUGCUUGUGCGGGCCCCCGUCAAUUCCUUUGAGUUUUAGCCUUGCGGCCGUACUCCCCAGGCGGGGCGCUUAAUGCGUUAGCUACGGCACGGAUCCCGUGGAAGGAAACCCACACCUAGCGCCCACCGUUUACGGCGUGGACUAC